CUCCUUCUCUCAAGGAGAGAAGGUUAGUACUCCCCUUGAUAAGGAUGGAAGAGAUCCUAGUGGCCUUUACAACACGCAUAUGGUUAAGGCAUUGCCACUUACUUUGUGGCAUCUAAGUCUAGGGCUGUU